GACGAACGCUGGCGGCGUGCUUAACACAUGCAAGUCGAACGGAAAGGCCCUGCUUUUGUGGGGUGCUCGAGUGGCGAACGGGUGUGUAACACGUGAGUAACCUGCCCUUGACUUUGGGAUAACUUCAGGCAACUGGGGCUAAUACCGGAUAGGAGCUCCUGCUGCAUGGUGGGGGUUGGAAAGCUUCGGCGGUUGGGGAUGGACUCUCGGGUUACCAGCUUGUUGGUGGGGUAGUGGCUUACCCAGGGUUUGACGGGUAGCCGGCCUGAGAGGGUGACCGGGCACAUUGGGACUGAGGUACGGCCCAGACUCCUACGGGAGGCAGCAGUGGGGAAUAUUGCACAAUGGGCGGAAGCCUGAUGCAGAAACGCCGCGUGCGGGAUGACGGCCUUCGGGUUGUAAACCGCUUUCGCCUGUGACGAAGCGUGAGUGACGGUAAUGGGUAAAGAAGCACCGGCUAACUACGUG
rnacentral:rRNA from 1 species